UGGGGGACGGAAGAAAAAAAAAAAAAACGAAUGCGAAGGAAACAAAAAAAAAUUCACUUUAGUGAAGCAUUAUAAUGGAAAAUUUCCCCCUAAACACAAAAAACGACGCCCUUGAUAUCCCCUUUUCUCUUUCUCAAGCCGCCUAAGCGAUCUGCAGGUUCUUAGUGUCAGAGCUGUAGUUACAUCUUGGAGGAGGAAAGGGGCCGGGAGGAGAAGAUAAAUAAUCGGGACGUUGGAAGUCACGUUUGUGCCGCUGCAGCAGGGAAAGCGGCAGGGACAACUCCAGCAGCGGCGGCGGCUCCGGCGGCAGCAGCAGCGGCGGCGGCGGCGGCGGCGGCGAGGGCUGCACGCACCGUGUGUGUCUCCGCUCCUCCAGCUCCCCCCUAACCAAUGAGAACAGCUCUCCGCCAGCAACUUUAAAUGGACCUGGCUCUUUUUUUUUUUUUUUUUCUGUUGUUAAUAUAUAUGUCUGCGUGCGUGUGCGCGCGCGCGCGCGCGUGUAUGUGUGUGUGUAUAUAUAUAUGUAUGUGUGUGUGUAUAUAUACACACACGGACACACGCACACACAUACAUGCGUACACCGCCUAGGGCUCGCCCUUAAUUCCCAACCGGGGCAGCAGCCGUAGCGCCCGGCCCCUCGCCGCGCUCAGCACAUGCAACAGGCCUCGCUAAACACUCCACGCCGGUCAAGCGUCAUGCGCUUCCCUCUCCCACUCCCCACCCCUCUUCCCACCUCCCGUCUUUUGGCAUUCAAGCGCGGCCACCGGGCACCAAGGUCGCCGCGAGCUGUACGCCGUAACCCGCCCUGGGAGUUUGACGACGGUCCCUCAGAGCGCACCACGCUCGAUCGCCGUGCCCUGCCCCCCUCCCCGCCCCGCUGCAGCCUCCUCUCUCCUCCCGCCUGCCAAGGGCUCUCCUUCCGCUCGGUCUCUGCGCCCGCCGCGCCUCCCACGGCUUCGGCACGCAUGAGGGGCCCGCCGCGCUGGCAGCACCUGAAGGCAUCCUGCCCCACAGCCAUGUAA
rnacentral:lncRNA from 1 species